rnacentral:rRNA from 1 species
UGGGGAAUUGUUCACAAUGGGCGCAAGCCUGAUGACGCAACGCCGCGUGGGGGAUGAAGGUCUUCGGAUCGUAAACCCCUGUCGAAUGGGACGAAAGACUCGCGAGUGAAUACUUCGCGAGAGUGACGGUACCGUUAAAGGAAGCCACGGCUAACUCUGUGCCAGCAGCCGCGGUAAUACAGAGGUGGCAAGCGUUGUUCGGAAUUACUGGGCGUAAAGGGCGCGUAGGCGGCCCUCUAAGUCAGACGUGAAAUCCCCCGGCUUAACCUGGGAACUGCGUCUGAUACUGGAGGGCUUGAGUAUGGGAGAGGGAUGUAGAAUUCCAGGUGUAGCGGUGAAAUGCGUAGAUAUACGGAGGAACACCAGAGGCGAAGGCGGAUCGCUGGGCCAACACUGACGCUGAGACGCGAAAGCUAGGGUAGCAAACGGGAUUAGAUACCCCCGUAGUCCCUGAGCGGGCUGGCAAGGCGCAU